CGAACGCUGGCAGCGUGGAUUAGGCAUGCAAGUCGAACGGGAUCGGGAAGGUAGCAAUAUCGGCCCGUGAGAGUGGCGGAAGGGCGAGGAACACGUGAGCAACCUGUCCUUGAGGUGGGGAAAACCGUUGGAAACGACGGCUAAUACCGAAUGCGGCGCCCGGAGACAUCUCCGGCGCGGCUAAAGGGGGCCGCAAGGCUCCCCUCUUCGAGGGGCUCGCGCACCAUCAGCUUGGUUGGCGGGGUAACGGCCCACCAAGGCUCACGGUUAGCUGGUCUGAGAGGAUGGCCAGCCGCACUGGGACUGAGAUACUGCCCAGACUCCUACGGGAGGCUGCAGUCGAGGAUCAUUCGCAAUGGGGGAAACCCUGACGAUGCGACGCUGCGUGGGAGGAUGAAGGCCCUCGGGUCGUAAACUCCUGUCAUGAGGGAAAAGGCGAAGGGACCCAACACGUCCCCUAGUUGAUGGUACCUCAAGAGGAACGGGCGGCUAACUCUGUGCCAGCCGCGGC
rnacentral:rRNA from 1 species